rnacentral:rRNA from 1 species
GACGAACGCUGGCGGCGUGCUUAACACAUGCAAGUCGAACGGUAAGGCCCUUCGGGGUACACGAGUGGCGAACGGGUGAGUAACACGUGGGUGAUCUGCCCUGCACUUCGGGAUAAGCCUGGGGAACUGGGUCUAAUACCGGAUAGGACUCCUGGCUUCAUGGUUGGGGGUGGAAAGCUUUUGCGGUGUGGGAUGGGCCCGCGGCCUAUCAGCUUGUUGGUGGGGUAAUGGCCUACCAAGGCGACGACGGGUAGCCGGCCUGAGAGGGUGACCGGUCACACUGGGACUGAGAUACGGCCCAGACUCCUACGGGAGGCAGCAGUGGGGAAUAUUGCACAAUGGGCGCAAGCCUGAUGCAGCGACGCCGCGUGAGGGAUGACGGCCUUCGGGUUGUAAACCUCUUUCAGCUAUGACGAAGCGCAAGUGACGGUAGUAGCAGAAGAAGGACCGGCCAACUACGUGCCAGCCGCCGCAGUAAUAC